rnacentral:rRNA from 1 species
UACGUAGGGUCCGAGCGUUGUCCGGAAUUAUUGGGCGUAAAGGGCUCGUAGGCGGUUUGUCGCGUUCGGGAGUGAAAACGCCGGGCUUAACCCGGUGCUUGCUUUCGAUACGGGCAGGACUGGAGGUAUGCAGGGGAGAACGGAAUUCCUGGUGUAGCGGUGAAAUGCGCAGAUAUCGGGAGGAACACCGGUGGCGAAGGCGGUUCUCUGGGCCUUACCUGACGCUGAGGAGCGAAAGCGUGGGGAGCGAACAGG